rnacentral:siRNA from 1 species
GAUCGGGUUGCGGUUUAAGUUGU